AACGAACGCUGGCGGCGUGGUUGAUACAUGCAAGUCGAACGGGAAAGGUGGCUUCGGCCAUCGAGUACAGUGGCGGACGGGUGAGUAACGUAUGAUCAAUCUGCCCUCAAGAUCAGGAUAGCCAUCCGAAAGGAUGGGUAAUACUGGAUAAGCCCACGGCAAGGCAUCUUGACGUGUGAAAAGGAUUGGGAUCUUCGGACCUUUCGCUUGAGGAUGAGAUCAUAACCUAUCAGUUUGUUGGCGGGGUAACGGCCCACCAAGACGACGACGGGUAGCCGGCCUGAGAGGGUGGACGGCCACACUGGAACUGAGACACGGUCCAGACUCCUACGGGAGGCAGCAGUGCUGAAUUAUUCGCCAAUGCGCGAAAGCGUGACGGUGCGACGCCGCGUGCGGGACGAAGGCCUUCGGGUUGUAAACCGCUGUCAGGGAUUAGAAAACCAAUUCGGUUAAUAGCCGGGUUGCUGAUCAGUCCCAAAGGAAGCACAGGCUAAUCUCGUGCCAGCCGCCGCAGUAAAAC
rnacentral:rRNA from 1 species